rnacentral:tRNA from 1 species
UUAAUUGAAACCAAAAUAGAGGUAUAUUACUGUUAAUAAUAUUAUUGAAAGAAAAUUUCCAAUUAAA